rnacentral:rRNA from 1 species
CAAGUCGAACGCGAAAGGGGCUUCGGCCCUGAGUAGAGUGGCGAACGGGUGAGUAACACGUGGGUGAUCUACCUUCGAGUGGGGGAUAACGUCCCGAAAGGGACGCUAAUACCGCAUGACGUUCUGGGUUUAAAGACCUGGAAACCAAAGCCGGGGACCGCAAGGCCUGGCGCUUGAAGAGGAGCCCGCGUCCGAUUAGCUAGUUGGCGGGGUAAUGGCCCACCAAGGCGACGAUCGGUAGCCGGCCUGAGAGGGCGGACGGCCACACUGGAACUGAGACACGGUCCAGACUCCUACGGGAGGCAGCAGUGGGGAAUUGUUCACAAUGGGCGCAAGCCUGAUGACGCAACGCCGCGUGGGGGAUGAAGGUCUUCGGAUUGUAAACCCCUGUCGAAUGGGACGAAAGACCCGGGAGCUAAUCAUCCUGGGAGUGACGGUACCGUUAAAGGAAGCCACGGCUAACUCUGUGCCAGCAGCCGCGGUAAUACAGAGGUGGCAAGCGUUGUUCGGAAUUACUGGGCGUAAAGGGCGCGUAGGCGGCCAUCUAAGUCAGACGUGAAAUCCCCCGGCUUAACCUGGGAACUGCGUCUGAUACUGGACGGCUAGAGUAUGGGAGAGGGAUGUAGAAUUCCAGGUGUAGCGGUGAAAUGCGUAGAUAUCUGGAGGAAUACCGGUGGCGAAGGCGGCAUCCUGGACCAUUUACUGACGCUGAGGCGCGAAAGCUAGGGGAGCAAACGGGAUUAGAUACCCCGGUAGUCCUAGCCCUAAACGAUGAAUGCUUGGUGUGGCGGGUAUCGAUCCCUGCCGUGCCGAA